CAAAAACUAUUGAAAGAUGUUCUUUUAUCUCUCUUCUUUCCUCUGUUUUACUUUCCAUUCUGCUUCACACAACUACAAUUAGGUCAGUAAGGGGAAGGUCUUGAUUCAAAUGAGAAAAUUGUGUUUUAUAUUUAAAAUUAACUAGAAGCAAGUAACUGAAUACCUUAAAAGUGUAUUGUUUCAUUUUCUUAUUUAACAGAUGAAGGAAUAGGCUCAGAGGAGUUGAGUAAUUUAUAUCCAAACCCUAUUUUUGUUUAGUCACCUCUGUCUGACUGUCAUAAACAUGAUCUAAAUUAACUGCCAUCUACCUUCUCUUUUUAUCUUAGAUCUCCAAGUAAUGGGCGAGGGGUAUGGGGUGGGGCUUCCCAGGUGGCUCAGUGGUAAAGAGUCUGCCUGACAAUGUAGGAGACAAAGUUUCGAUCCCUGGUCAGGAAGAUCCCCUGGAGGAGAUCACCCCAGUAUUCUUGCCUAGAGAAUCCCAUGGACAACGAGUCUGGCCGGCUAUAGUCCGUGGAGUCGCAAAGAGUUGGACACGACUGAGUGACUGACCAACCAACUGCAAGUAAUUCUGGAGAUCUUUGGCAUGAAGAAAAUAUAGAAGUCGAUUACAGUGUCAGAGAAAUGGAGCUUCAUUAACUCUAAUAAAAAUAGAUAAAUAUGAUCCACGCGCUUCUGGAGAAGUCGCUCAGGUUGUUCGAGACAGAUGCUCUGUAGCCACAUCAACUGGAGAGCAUCACAGAAAAAGUAUCCGCGGAUGUUUUCAACCAGGCAAUAGGAAGGCAGCGAAGCAACGAUUCAAGACUCUUCACAAAAGAGGCGAAAAGAGAGACGUUUUCAGUUUUGACCCACCCAGACCCCACCCUUCGGUUGCAUCCAUCACACAGUCAUUACAAAGGGGCAGCGCUGUCACACUGCCUGCCCUGCUCCCGGGGCUCUCGGGCUGGCUUAAUGAAGUGCACCCAGCCGGGGCUAUUGUGCAGCGCGAAUGA
rnacentral:lncRNA from 1 species